GCUGUAGCUCAAGGGUUGGACGCCUGUUUGGCAUGCAGGAGGUCGUGGGUUCAAUCCCCCGGCAUCUCCG